rnacentral:ncRNA from 2 species
GCCAGUGACACGGGGUGCCGCAUCGGGCGGCUGAGAACACACCCGUCGAACCUGAUCUCGUUAGUACGAGCGAAGGGAUGUCGCGAUGAGCGAUC